GAAUAUUGGUCAAUAGCCUAACGGCUGAACCAGCAACUUGGAGGAAUGUAUGUCUGCAUCAGGUGAUGCAAAGUCGAUUACCUUGAUUAAAAUUCCAGGCAGAAUUAUGAUGAUGACAUUGUCUGCCUGAAUGUCUUGACCAAAUUACGUGCCAGCAGUCGCGGUAAUACGUAGAAGACUAGUGUUAUUCAUCUUUAAUAGGUUUAAAGGGUACCUAGACGGUAAAUCAAGCCUUAGCAGGGACUAGUUUGCUAGAGUUACUUACGAGGGGGCAUUAAUGUACUAAUGGUGGAGAGAUGAAAUUUUGUAAUACCUAUUCUUGAAAAAGAAGUGAUGGCACAGGUUUAGGCGAAAGCAUCCCCUUAUGUGAUAACUGACGUUGAGGGACGAAGGCUUUGUGUAGCGAACAGGAUUAGAUACCCUGGUAGUCGAAGCAGAAAAUGAUGAAUGUCAUAGAUUAGAAAUUUUUAUUCUAUAAAUGAAAGUGUAAGCAUUCCACCUCAAGAGUAAUUUGGCAACAUUGGAACUGAAAUCAUUAGACCGUUUCUGAAACCAGUAGUGAAGUAUGUUGUUUAAUUUGAUAAUCCGCAAAAAACCUUACCACAGUUUGAAUAUGGAGAUGUCCUGAUUUCGAUGCAUGACAUCUCUUUACAAGUGUUGCACGGUUGUCUUCAGUUAAUGUCGCGAGACUUUGGUUAGUUCCAUAAAUUAACGUAAGCCCUUACUUUAUUUUUAAAUAAAGUUGUUCGCCACUAGAUUGGAUAUGAUAACAG
rnacentral:rRNA from 1 species